UGGACAUUACAGAGCCACUGAGGCCAAAACUCUCAUCACCACACCCCCCCACAGCCCCUGGCAGCACUCUGAAUCCUUUGGCUUGCAAUGUGGAACUAAAAUUUCCUAAGGAGAAGGACAGUAGCUACCCUAAGACUUCUCAAAGCACACACCCCUGAAGCUUUCUUCUCCUAGCAACGGGGGCCCCUUCGAGAUCAGCUCUCUCCAAGCAAGGCUUUCUGAGGACUGACCCUGCAAACGUGCAAGGGGUAGAGGCCUGAGAAUAUGCCCCGCCUCCUCCCAAACACAGCAAAAGCAGACAGGACAAAGGUGAGGAGGUCGAGCUGCUGGGAGGGGCAACUCCCGCUGAUUCCGGAUUCUGCCAUUCUGCCGAUUCCCAUGCAGAAACCCUGGUGAGGAAGAGGGCAUUGGGUCUGCCAGCUGCUCUCUCUGGAGAAGUCCUCCGAGGAGCUGCCAAUGACAGUUCCCAAACUGCUAUCCUAGAGGAUACCAGGGCUUCGUUUAAAGCGGCCCUCUGGAAGGCAGACUACCCUCUAAUGCACAACCUGUCUUUGCAGACUGGGAAUGAAUUCAUGCCAAAGUGGUCAAUUCAUUUUAAUAAACAAAUGAAUAUGCAGAGGCCCCAGGAAGCCAAGGCAACGGUGGCGGUGGACUUUGGAGCCGACUGUAAUUAGGCCCCUGCCCUACUUUCUAAAAUUGCAUUUCCCUGCCAGGGAGCCUGCUCCAGGCCUUCUGAGAAGAAAGUCCGUGCAAAGAGUUGAGGUGCUGCUCAUGGUGCCGGCGCCUCUAUAAACAGCCCCACCGCUGGAGAAGCUGUAUCCCAGCCCCUUGACCUUAGCUUACUGAGCUAAUUCCUGCUACUGCAGCUGCCUGGGCUGGCACGGGGCACCACCAACCACCGAGCACCCGUGCGGGGGGGAGGGGGGGUGCUGAGACAGGUCCUGCUCCCUGGAGGCAACAGGUGCUGAGAGACCUGGAAUGAAAAGGGUCACCGGCAACCCACCAGCCUUUCAAAGACCGUGUGGCAGCUGACUUCCCACCCUACAGCAUCAAGGCACUGGAGCGCAGUCAGAGAGGAACGGUCUUUUACUGGCCAGGACACAAAGCCCACCCAGCGAGGUUUGUCUGCAGGGGCACCACAGAGGCCAGGGGAUUGCCAGAGCUCCACGGGAGGAUGCUGCAGAGAAGGGGCUAGUGCUGGAAGCUGUGGCUCCCACUGACGACUAGGGCUUCCUAGGACCCCAGCCUGCGGGUGGGGGCGGUUCCCUUCACGCAGCCUCUUCCAGAUCUUGCCUGGGACAGAACUCACGCUGACCCUGCCUUCUAGGCAAGACCAGCAUCCUGUGGGCCAACGGGCAGGCAGCAGGCAAUGUGGGAGCUGACCCUAGUUCUAGGGGCACAAAACGGGCCAAGUGGCCCCCAAGAAAAGGAUGUCACAAAGUUCAUGGACAGCAGCAGGCUUUCUGCACUAGAGACUAAGCAAGGCUACUAGGCAGGGGCAACAACAGACAGCCCCCACGAAGGCUGUGGUGCCUCAGCCAUACCUGAAGAGAGAGGUUCUUCCCCGUCGCAACUAACAAGGGCUUGGGUUUUGCCGGGAGGCAGAGGAGCGGGUGAGGUAAGCCCGUGAUCCGCCGAAGCGGGGAGACACAGGGCUACACAGGCCGCUGAGGGGUAACUGGAAUUCAGCUUGUAAACCAGAAAGCACCAGAUUAAGAGAAGGUGCGACUCAGAAAGAAACGCUGCAGAAGUAAAUGUCGAAAAGGAGAGGCGACCCUGCUGGCGGCCCGUCGUAGCGGUACCCAGGGCUCCAGCAUUAGCCGGUUGGCAGAUGAAGAUGUUAAACUCUGCUCUCUAUGAACGCGUCCCUUCCCUCCCUUUUUCGAGAAACAGAGAACGAAUCUGUAA